rnacentral:hammerhead_ribozyme from 1 species
AUCCAGAUGACCAGUCCCAAAUAGGACGAAACAUACGUCUUUUAU